GUAGGUGAACCUGCGGAAGGAUCAUUACAGAGAACUUGCCCUUCGGGGUAGAUCUCCCACCCUUUGUCUACCAUACUUUGUUGCUUUGGCAGGCCCGCUCUCGGGCCGCCGGCUUCGGCUGGCCAGCGUCUGCCAGAGGACCACAAACUCUUGUAUUUUAGUGUCGUCUGAGUACUUUAUAAUAAGUUAAAACUUUCAACAACGGAUCUCUUGGUUCUG
rnacentral:misc_RNA from 1 species